rnacentral:lncRNA from 1 species
UGUGUGGUUAUUCAAAGUAAGAAAUCAUGUAAAUCACUGGCAUGUGGUUGUCAUAGGGGUACUUAAACAUUUAGUAUUCCUGAAAAUGAGUGAUGAGAACAUCUUGUAACUAAAAUGAGAUAAAGUAGCACUGAAAUUUGAGACUUUUUAAACACUUGAUUUGUAUUGGUUAACAUUUUAUAAAUUUGGUGAUAAUAUUAGCACAUUUAUUGCAUAUUAAAUACUUAUAAUCUCCUGUUCCAGUCUUUUAUAUGAUAUUCUUAAUCUCCUUUGAGAAAAAACAUUUUUAUUAAGUAGAUUUUUAAAAAUACUUUUUCAUCAGUUGUCAUUUAUGACUCUGGAAUUCCACCAAGAAAAGUUUCUGAAAGGUGGAAUCCCAGAAAGGAAAAUCAAUGUAAGUAGCUGAAAAGGGGUGCAUGUGAGAAUAGACUAGAGAACAGUAUUAAAUUUGGUGAAGCACCGGAUUCUUUGUCAAAGUUCAAUGUGAAACACGCACCCCAGUUACCAGAGCUGAGCAACAAAAUGAGUGGGUAUAGAGCAAUAUCCUGAGAGAGAAUGAAAAAGAAUUAAGCACUGGGAGUGUAAUUAAACUCAGUAGCAUUUAUAUAAUGUGAACUUAAACCCUGUGAAUUUCAAGAUGAAAUAUUGUGUAGCUUAUGAAUUUCAUAGGAUGUUCAUCCUCAACCUCUGACACAUCCUAUCUUACUUUUAAAAAGCUUUUUGGAGUUCUCUGAGCUAUAAAACAUGAAUCUGGAGGAGCAUAACAUGUUAAAACACUAGGGUCCUUCAUAGAGCUGAAACAUUAAAUUUGGAAAACAAAUACCUCACUAUAGCUUGAUUACCUGAGCGGCUAAAUAUUCCAUUAAUGAAGUGAUGUUAGAUGAUUUUUCUUGUUUCAGCAUGUUUUGUUUUAUGCACUAUGCAUUAGCUACUGGAUAUAAACAGUUUAUUAAGAUCAUUUAGGAAAAUGCUUUUCAGUUGUUUUUUGGUUAUGCUGACAUUUUAACAAGGAUCUGUUGUAUCACUAACUUUUGGGAAGGUAAACAGUCUGGGCUAAUGUAGGUCUCUCGCACAGGAUAUAAUUAGGUAUCAGGAUCCAGAAAGUAGGUAACUUUAGAUUCUCUAGUUGCAGUAGCAUUUAUUUAAUGUGAACUUAAACCCUGUGAAUUUCAAGAUUACAUACCAUAUGUAGCAAGCAUAUGUAUUUCAUAGAAUGCUCAUCCUAUGAAACACAUCUUAUCUUACUUUAAGAAUGUGUUCUCCCCCCAAAAUCUGCAGCAUGUCCAACUUUGUGCCAGAUACUAUAUAAGUAACACAAAACAGAAAUACCACUCUUCAAGGAUUUCCCAAGAGACAGCUACAUCUAGAAAUACUAGUUUCAUUCUGAAUGGAUUAUCCUGAAAACAUGCUUAAUUUGAUUUAAAUAGUAUAAGAGGAAGGCUUUAGGCAAGGAAUGAUCAUUUUAAUUGACUAAUGUGAAACUUAUUAAAACUUCUCAGAACGUUCUUUUCUUUUCCUUUUUUUUCUCGGUACUGGGGAUGGAACGCAGGGGCACUUGACUACUAAGUUAUCUUCCUAGCUCUUUUUAUUUUUUAAUUUUGAGACAGGGUCUUACUAAAUUGCUAAGGCUAGCCUCAAACUUGUGAUCCUCCUGUCUUAGCCUCCUGAGUUUCUGGAAUUAACAGGUGUGUGUUCCUGUGCCUAGCCUCAGAAUAUUCUUUAUUUGCAUAUAUUUUAUAAUAAAAUCUAGUGUGUAUUUUGUCACUAUUAUAUGGUAAGACUAUGACUAACAGUAUAUGAAGAAUGAAAGGAAUUUUGUGUUAAAAAUAGUCUGCCUACUGUGUAUUUCAGAACCUUUCAUAAGUUGCAGAAUUCAACUAUCUGGAACACCUUAUCUUUAAAAUAUUCUUCAUGAUUAGCAGCUAUAGCACAGAUCCCAAUACUGUCCUAGCCAGUGAAGGAUCGAGAUGAUUCUUUCCAAGUGCCAGAGUUCACAGUGAAAUUCAAGAGUUCUUUAGGUACACAGGCCUCACUUCAGCUUUCCCAGGACCUCAUAACUCUUUAUUUAACUCAUAAUAAGAAGAAAACCUUCAAGCUGUUUUUAGUGUCUGAUCCCACAUUUUGACCCUUUGUCAGUUUAUCAUGAUGUGUCCUUACAUAGCACCCACUGGGGAUCUAGAGAUCCUUGAGGGCCUUGUAAAGCUCCUAUGACAGUGGAAGGUGACUUACCUCUGUUGAAAAGACCCUUUUGGUGAAAUAGAAGAAAUGUGAUGAACUUUGGGAGGAAAUGGAAGACUUGUCCUGCCUUCCUUACCUCCCCUGAUUGCCUGUAGUGCCUCUUUCCACUGUCUUUGCAGCUUUCAGUUCUUUCCUUGCAGGUGUGUUGCAAGUAAGGCAAGUACAGUAAACUCCCUUGUUAUGGCUAAGCUGGUGUUUCUCUGAUUAAUGAAUACAGAAAGAUUGGAGUAAGGACAUGCAGUGCUAGUGUAAUCACUCAUAAUUUUAUGUUUGAAGGAACAGACCUAAGGACCUUUGGGCUCUUUGGAUGUUUUGUGUGGAAAGUGAUUUCUGUAGAAUAAUUUCUGACCUUGAUCAUCUUUAACAAAUCUAGAUUAUCUCUACAGGGUUUGAUGAGACAGAAAGUUGCCUUCUUGCAAUCCUAGCUUUUUGUAUUGUGUGGGCCAGCAGGACUUGGCCAACUGUCCAACAUAAUAUUUGAACUCCAGAGACCCAAAGACUCCUUUCAGCCUUCAGAUGUAAAGUAUGGGUUCCAGUUGUUGCCCAACUUUGUAGCGUUGGUGAAGAUGUUUAGCCCAGGCACUCUGAGCCCAUUUCCUCACUUGCAGCAUGGGUGAGCCAACCUCUUGCUCAUUGACAUAUUCACCAGGUACUGGGGACAAAUGGUGGUGACUGGACAGACUAUCAAGCUCCUGUCCUGGAGCUUACAUACUAAUCAGAAGAGCCAGACUAAAAAUUGAAUGGGAUCAUUUCAGAUGGUUAAAUGAGUGAGCUGGAGCAUGUUUGAAGAGGGGAACAGUGUUGGUGACAUUGAGAAAUGGGAGACAGUGUGGCCCAAUUGCAGUGAGGAAAGGAGGGUAUGCCAUGAGGUGAGGUUAGGUAGAGCUUGUCAGUUUUAAGCAGGGGUGUACCCUGAUGUUGUUUUUGAAAGAUCACUGUGGCCACUGUAUAGACAGAUUGGGAUGGGGCCAGAGAAGAAGCAGGGGAACCAGAAAGGAGGCUCUUAGCCAUAGAGAUGAAAUGGGAUUUUAUAGCACUGUCCCAAGCAUGGGGCAGCUCCCUAGUGAAGGAGUUGGCCUCUCUGCAUUUUCUCCAAUGCUGUUGAUUCCUUCCCUCAACAGAGGCUAGGUAUUCAUGUAAGAUUGACUUCACUUGACCUCUCGUUCAGAACUCCGAACAGGCAGCUGAUCAGGACAUAGUGCUCCUGUUACUCUCGGCUGGUUAUAUGAAGAAAUGAUAAAUUGUGUAGACUCCCGUCUACAGUACUACUGCCGUCCACUGCUACAACCACCUACUGCACUGUAGACUGUUGGUAGGUAUUAUUUGUGAAUGGAGUUGCGUGGGUAACUGAGCUGGGAAGACCUGGCCCAUCAGGCUUCUUUACAGCAGCACUUCCCUGGACCUUGAGGAUGUGCCACAGAUCCUCAGGCAGGGGACUGUGUGUUUCUGAAACCUGAUUUCAGAGGGCUAACGUUCCACUGAACAUACUUUGGAAAACACUUUGGAAUUGUGAUUAGGCAACUUUAUUUUUCAGAGGGUCCUUUGGUUAAAAACAACAGAGACCUAGUUAAAUUAAGAAAAAAGGAAUUAGUGGAAACCUAUGGAGGCACCCAGGAUUGACUGCACCUGGAAAGCCCAACAUGGGAAUCUGCAGGAUGGGAGCAGCAGGCUAAGGAAGCCAGAUUCCCAGGGGAGCCGUCUGGCCAGGACCCCUCUGGGAAGGAUCGAAGUGCCAACCUUCUUCAGCCUGUCUUUUUGCUGAAGGUUCAACGUCCAUGAAGAGCUCUCCUGGUGGGUUUAUCUUUUUGUUACCAACUUUUAAGAAAACAUAACUUUAAUUGUUAUAUUUAUUGUAGUUUACUUUGUCAGUACCCUGUUAUCAACUUGAAUUGUUUCCACUUUUUUCUCUUCUAAAUAAUGCUGUAGUGAACAUUACUAUGCCUAACAUUUUUUAUUUCAUACAUUUAAAAAUUUUUGAGUUAUUUUCAGUUAUGGAAUUACUGGGUCAAAGAUAUAAACAUUUUACAGUUCAUAUAA